rnacentral:rRNA from 1 species
UACAGAGGUCCCAAGCGUUGUUCGGAUUCAUUGGGCGUAAAGGGUGCGUAGGCGGCGCGGUAAGUCGGGUGUGAAAUCUCGGAGCUUAACUCCGAAACUGCAUUCGAUACUGGCGUGCUUGAGGACUGGAGAGGAGACUGGAAUUCAUGGUGUAGCAGUGAAAUGCGUAGAGAUCAUGAGGAAGACCAGUGGCGAAGGCGGGUCUCUGGACAGUUCCUGAUACUGAGACACGAAGGCCAGGGGAGCAAACGGG